rnacentral:rRNA from 1 species
CGGGUGAGUAACACGUGGAUAACCUACCUAUAAGACUGGGAUAACUUCGGGAAACCGGAGUUAAUACCGGAUAAUAUUUUGAACCGCAUGGUUCAAAAGUGAAAGACGGUCUUGCUGUCACUUAUAGAUGGAUCCGCGCUGCAUUAGCUAGUUGGUAAGGUAACGGCUUACCAAGGCAACGAUGCAUAGCCGACCUGAGAUGGUGAUCGGCCACACUGGAACUGAGACACGGUCCAG